CAGUCAUAUAGGAGUGAAACACUCAUUCCCAUAUGAUCACCAAUGUUAAGUAAUGUCAAGCCUGGUCAGUAGCUAGAUGGGUGACUGCUUGAGAAUACCAGAUGCUGUAA